GACGAACGCUGGCGGCAGGCCUAACACAUGCAAGUCGAGCGAGAAGCUUUUCUUCGGAAAAGUGGAUAGCGGCGGACGGGUGAGUAACGCGUGGGAAUAUGCCUCGAAGUACGGAAUAGCCUUUGGAAACGAAGAAUAAUACCGUAUGGUCCCGUAAGGGUAAAGAUUUAUCGCUUCGAGAUUAGCCCGCGUUAGAUUAGGUAGUUGGUAGGGUAAUGGCCUACCAAGCCUACGAUCUAUAGCUGUUCUGAGAGGAAGAUCAGCCACACUGGAACUGAGACACGGUCCAGACUCCUACGGGAGGCAGCAGUGGGGAAUAUUGGGCAAUGGGGGAAACCCUGACCCAGCCAUGCCGCGUGAGUGAAGAAGGCCCUAGGGUCGUAAAGCUCUUUCAACUGUGAAGAUGAUGACUGUAGCAGUAAAAGAAACCCCGGCUAACUUCG
rnacentral:rRNA from 1 species